UGAUCCUGGCUCAGGAUGAACGCUGGCGGUCUGCUUACACAUGCAAGUCGAACGCACCUUCGGGUUGAGUGGCGGACGGGUGAGUAACGCGUGAGAAUCUGCCUUGGGGUCGGGGACAACCACUGGAAACGGUGGCUAAUACCGGAUAAGCCUUUGGGUAAAAAAUUUAUUGCCCCAAGAGGAGCUCGCGUCUGAUUAGCUAGUUGGUGAGGUAAAAGCUCACCAAGGCAGCGAUCAGUAGCUGGUCUGAGAGGACGAUCAGCCACACUGGGACUGAGACACGGCCCAGACUCCUACGGGAGGCAGCAGUGGGGAAUUUUCCGCAAUGGGCGAAAGCCUGACGGAGCAAGACCGCGUGAGGGAGGAAGGCUCUUGGGUUGUAAACCUCUUUUCUCAGGGAAGAAGCUCUGACGGUACCUGAGGAAUCAGCCUCGGCUAACUCCGUGCCAGCAGCCGCGGUAAUACGGAGGAGGCAAGCGUUAUCCGGAAUUAUUGGGCGUAAAGCGUCCGCAGGUGGCGAUUCAAGUCUGCUGUCAAAGCACGGGGCUUAACUCCGUUAAGGCAGUGGAAACUGAAUAGCUAGAGUGCCGUAGGGGUAGAGGGAAUUCCCGGUGUAGCGGUGAAAUGCGUAGAGAUCGGGAAGAACAUCGGUGGCGAAAGCGCUCUACUGGACGGCAACUGACACUCAGGGACGAAAGCUAGGGGAGCGAAUGGGAUUAGAUACCCCAGUAGUCCUAGCUGUAAACGAUGGAUACUAGGUGUAGCUUGUAUCGACCCGAGCUGUGCCGAAGCUAACGCGUUAAGUAUCCCGCCUGGGGAGUACGCACGCAAGUGUG
rnacentral:rRNA from 1 species